AUCAACUUUCGAUGGUAGGAUAGAGGCCUACCAUGGUGGUAACGGGUAACGGGGUGUUAGGGCACGACACCGGAGAGGGAGCCUGAGAAACGGCUACCACAUCCAAGGAUGGCAGCAGGCGCGCAAAUUACCCAAUCCCGACACGGGGAGGUAGUGACAAUAAAUAACAAUACGGGGUUCUUUCGGAUCUCGUAAUUGGAAUGAGUACAAUUUAAAUCUCUUAACGAGGAACAAUUGGAGGGCAAGUCUGGUGCCAGCAGCCGCGGUAAUUCCAGCUCCAAUAGCGUAUAUUAAAGUUGUUGCAGUUAAAAAGCUCGUAGUUGAAUUUCGGGAUCAAAUUGUCGGUCGUGCCUCGGUACGUACUGGCGUUAUUGGUUCCUCCCUUCUGAAGAACCACGAUGUCAUUAAUUUGGUGUCGCGGGGAAUCAGGACUGUUACUUUGAAAAAAUUAGAGUGUUUAAAGCAGGCUCGCGCUUGAAUACAUUAGCAUGGAAUAAUGAAAUAGGACGUUUGAUUCUAUUUUGUUGGUUUCUAGGAUCGACGUAAUGAUUAAUAGGGAUAGUUGGGGGCAUUAGUAUUCAAUUGUCAGAGGUGAAAUUCUUGGAUUUAUUGAAGACUAACUACUGCGAAAGCAUUUGCCAAGGAUGUUUUCAUUAAUCAAGAACGAAAGUUAGGGGAUCGAAGACGAUCAGAUACCGUCGUAGUCUUAACCAUAAACUAUGCCGACUAGGGAUCGGAUGAUGUUAAUUUUUUAAUGACUCAUUCGGCGCCUUACGGGAAACCAAAGUGUUUGGGUUC
rnacentral:rRNA from 1 species